rnacentral:lncRNA from 1 species
GGGUUUAAAGCUUAUAUUUUAAGCUUUAUUUAAUGGAUUGAAGAUGGUCUUAGGGGGGAGAGAAGAAUUAGUGAGAAUUGAACCCGCACCAGAGACAUAAUUGUUUUCCGUCACUAUGGUAAAGUGUCAUCUGCACUCUUUCUAUUAUUUUUGUAUUUUAAAAGAAGCGAUAAAAGUAAUGUAUUGCAAAAGAAAAAGAAAAAAAAAAAAAAAAAAAAAAAAAAAAAAAACUCCCUGCUGCUAAAAAAAACAGGAGAAAAAACCCUAGCCGUCAACCCCUGCCUUUAGCGUUUUAAAUUUGAGCUUGGGUAGACUAACAGAGCCCAUCUAUGCAGAAAAUGGAUUAAGCCCAGCCCAUCUUGGACUUCAAAUGAGGUCUCCACACUUCCAACUAGUUCCAAGUCAACAGUGCCAAUUGGCAAGCACUCGAAAUAUCUUAUGCCCUUUUUGUCCUCAUCUCUGCCCUCCCCAUCUAAUAUCUCACAUCUACCUCAACAGCUGGCAACUACAAUCUGAAAUCAACGGCCAUGAUCUAACACCAAAUGGGCAAAGUGGGCAUUGGUCAUAACCCUCCAGCUUCCUGCCCUGACUACCCCAGAUCAUUAUCCGUAAAUCUGACCAACCCCAGGGGCAUUUACGUCACAUAAAAUAUCCAAAUCUUCUUCAUAAACCCUAUCUUGAUCCGUUCUCUCUAAAAUCUUCUUCUCUUCUUUGCAACCUUAUCUGUAAAGAGGCAAAACCAGAAGCAGAGCAAAAUCACCAUGACUGCCUCCACAGCUACCCUCGCUCUUCCUUCUCUUUCGCCCAAAACCCUAGCCCUCUACACCCCCAAAGCCGCCUCAAUCUCGCUCUACUCCGCCCUAGCGCUCGGCUGUAAACCCAUUUCAAUUUCGGCCUCGUUUCUCAACUCCGGGAAGGGGUUUCAAAGCG